rnacentral:rRNA from 1 species
UUGAAAAAUUAUUAAUUUAAAAGAAAAAUUUAUUUUUUGUACCUUGUGUAUCAGGGUUUAUUAAAAAUUUAAUAAUUAUAUAUUAAUCUCGAUUUUAUAAGAGUUAAUAAUUUAUGAAAGUUAAUGUAUCAAAAUUAUUUUAAAUAAAUUAUUAGAAAUGAUAUGUUAUUCGUUUAUAAAGGUAUCUAGUUUUUUUAGAAAUAAAUUUAAUUUACAAAUUUUUAUUUAUUUUUUAGUUAAUUUAUUAAUUAAAAAAUUUAUUAAUUUGAAUAUUCUAAGGGAUAAGCUUUAGAAUAAAUUUUUAUAAAUAAAAUAAAUUUUAUUUAAAAAUAUAUGCAUAGAAUUAGCAAUUAUUUAUAAAUUUGUUAUAAAUUAUUUUAUAAUUAUAUUAUUUAUUUUUAUUUUAAAUUUAUAUAAAAAUUUUUUUAUUAAUUUUUUAUAAAAAUUAAUAAUGAUAAAAUUAGUAUAUAUUAUUAUUGUUUAAAUUUAUUUAUAUGUUAGUUUUAUAUAAAGAACUCGGCAAAUAUUUUAUACUCGCCUGUUUAACAAAAACAUGUCUUUUUGAGUUAAUUUUAAAGUCUAACCUGCCCAAUGAAUUAUUUUUAAUGGCCGCAGUAUCCUAACUGUGCAAAGGUAGCAUAAUAAUUAGUCUUUUAAUUGAAGGCUUGUAUGAAUGGUUGGACGAAGUAUAAACUGUUUCAUAUAAUUUAUUAUAGAAUUUUAUAUUUUAGUAAAAAAGCUAAAAUUUAUUUAAAAGACGAGAAGACCCUAUAAAUCUUUAUAAUUUAUAAUAUUCAAAUUUUUUUGAUUUAUUUUAUUUUAAUAGUAUAAAUUAUUUUGUUGGGGUGAUAUUAAAAUUUAAUAAACUUUUAAUUGUAGAUUUAACAUUAAUUUAUGAUUUAUUGAUCCUUUAAUAAUGAUUAUAAGAAUAAGUUACUUUAGGGAUAACAGCGUAAUUUUUUUGGAGAGUUCUUAUCGAUAAAAAAGUUUGCGACCUCGAUGUUGGAUUAAGAGAUAUAUUUAGGUGUA